UACGGAGGGUGCAAACGUUGCUCGGAAUCAUUGGGCGUAAAGCGCACGUAGGCGGCUCGUUAAGUCGGAUGUGAAAUCCCUGGGCUCAACCCAGGAAGUGCAUUCGAAACUGGCGAGCUUGAAUAUGGAAGAGGGUCGCGGAAUUCCCGGUGUAGAGGCGAAAUUCGUAGAUAUCGGGAGGAACACCAGUGGCGAAGGCGGCGACCUGGGCCAAUAUUGACGCUGAGGUGCGAAAGCGUGGGGAGCAAACAGG
rnacentral:rRNA from 1 species